UUAGUUCCUGGGUAAAUGGUGAAUUUUGCUCCAGGCUCUAGAACAAAAAUUGCAAGAACCAAUGAAAAGUGCCAGGAGGUUCCAGCUGAAGAGAAGGAAGCAGCUAUCUUUUGAGGCUUCUCUGUUCUGUCUUAGGUUCUGGUAGUGCCAAGGGCCAGCUCUCAGAGGGAUCUCGGGUCUUCCUUUCUGGAUUUUUCCUCCUGUUCUGCACAACUAUUAGGUUUUCUGCCCCUUUAACUCUUUAAGACCUACCUCAGGAAAUGGAAUUGACAAGGUGUGAGCAAGAACCACUGAGAGACGUGAAGCACCAAAAGUGGGGUUUCAGGCAGCAGCCGCCGGGACUCGGGUGUUACGGAGUUUCUUGACAUCUCUGAAGUCACAGUAGCCCAGCUUAAGUGCAGCAAAGCCCCUUGAACCCAAAGGACUGAUGAAAGACUCACCUUCAUGCCUCAGCCCACAUGUCACCCACUCUGGGUAGUGAUCCUGGAAGUGGUCUCUCUGGUCUCGCCUAUGCUCCCACUGCAUCUGCUGUGACCCCUUCCUCUGUUACAGGAUUGUAACCAUGUCCUCUCCAAAUUCCAAGCUGCCCAAAUAAAGCGAUUGUGUCUCUUUUUAUCAUCAUUGUUCUCUCCCCCUUUCAAUCCUCCCAUCCCUGCUCCACAGCAUCUGCCGCAGAUGGGAGAGCUCUGGGUGGAACGUAGGUGCACACAAAUGCCAAGGAGAGUGGCCAGCACUUACUGCACACUUACCAUGUGCCAGGCCCCAAGCGGAGUCCUUUAUGAGCGCCACCUCGUCGAAUGCUCCCUGCAACGCCGAGAGAACUGCCCCAAUUUGUUCUGCCACAUGCCCAUGUGGGUGAGCAGUGUGGGAUAGGUUGCCGAGAGACCAAAGACCCAGAGACAGCAAACGAGACAUAUGGGCUUAUUGGGAGUUACUUACAGGGAAGGUCCAGUGGCGGCCAACUGGACAGCAACGUGCACCCGCUACCGCCCCCUGAGAGAAGCUUAAGUAGGCAGAGGAACAAAGGCUGCAUGCUUGCCAAGGGGGAUUGUCCCUGUAUGACCUGCAUUCCAAGGACCAGAGCGCCCCCAGAGAGCCUCUAUGUUCCCUCAGACCACGAGGGUCUCAGUGCUAACUCUCCCAUGAGAGCAGCUGGGUUGGCCAAGUCCAAGAUUGUUAUCAUCUUGAGUGUUGGCACAUAGCCCAGACAGGAGCCUUAAGGACACAUGGUCUUUAAAGGGGCAUGCCAGCUACUGCCCCUACAUCAUUUUACAGGGGAAGAAACUGGGGCCAAGUAACUAGCUCAAGGACUCACUGCUAGUAAGUGA
rnacentral:lncRNA from 1 species